rnacentral:rRNA from 1 species
UACGUAGGGUGCAAGCGUUGUCCGGAUUUAUUGGGCGUAAAGAGCUCGUAGGCGGUUUGUCGCGUCGACUGUGAAAGCCCGGGGCUCAACCCCGGGUCUGCAGUCGAUACGGGCAGACUAGAGUUCGGUAGGGGAGACUGGAAUUCCUGGUGUAGCGGUGAAAUGCGCAGAUAUCAGGAGGAACACCGGUGGCGAAGGCGGGUCUCUGGGCCGAUACUGACGCUGAGGAGCGAAAGCGUGGGGAGCAAAC